AAGAAACCAUCUGAAUAAAUGAUGGUAUAUUCAUUAAAAUCAAUCACCUUUGGGCUGAAGAGAUGGCUCAGCAGUAAAGAGCUCUGGCUGUUCUUUCACAGGAUCAGUGUUCAAUUCCUGCUACUCACAUGGUGGCUCGCAACCAUUUGUAACUCCAGUCCCAGGAGAUCUGAUGCAAUCUCCUGGGUUCCAUGCACACCAGGCUCACACAUGUGUGUAAGUAAAGUUUUGGGUUGUUUUCUAAGACUGAAGUCUGGAUUGCUGUGGCCGAGGAGCUUGGGGUUCUAUGAGUCGGAUGCUAUGGUUUCAGUCUUGCCCAUCACCUGUCCUUUGCACCGUGCAGGGAGAUGUCACAGUGUUGUAGUCCUUUGCUCAGAUAUGGAGGCUCUGCUGAGGUGCUGCUCCGAGAGAGCGGCUCUUAAUCAGCCUAUGCAGUUUUUCUCCAUCUCCAAAGGUCCGCAGCAUCCUGUCUGCAUCUUCUCUCCUACAUAGCUUACUUUAUACCUCAAGGUAAGGUGAUCUGCACCC
rnacentral:lncRNA from 1 species